UGGAGUUAUAAAAUCUUUGUAUUGUGCUACCUUAAUCAUGACUCUUGUACUUAUAUUAUUAUAUGUAUACUAUAACAUGUAAAUGAGAAGACCUCGUGUUUUGUGUCGCUUCUCUCCCUUUCACAAUAAAUAAAUCAUCAUGUCUUUGUGUCCUAUAGGAACAAUGCAUAGUCGCAUUUGUCAUCCUCCCUUACGAUUAUUCCGUAUGGCUAAUGUUGGAAGAACACGAAAAUAAAGGGGUACUUAUAUUAUUUCCGUUAUUUGACGGACGUUUAAGUCAUGGACAAAACUUCUGUUUACGACUGUAUAUUUGGGGACAAGACAAUUGUUGAGAGACGUCUCCCUUUUAUUUUUCUAAAAUCUUAUUUUUUGGUUUUCAAUAAAUUUCAAGUAUUUUCCAUACAUGAUAUAGAGAUAAUAUAUUAUUGACUGCCGUGGAUGGUAAACUAUGAAUACACUUUAUUCUUGGUUUAUGUAUGUGUAUAGUAUAUAGAAAAACCCGAAAAGAAUUUAAAUUAUUAGAAAUAAAAAAAAAAUGGAUUUUGGAGAAAAAAAGGGGAGGGCUAAAACAUAUUGUACUGUCCCCAAGUACAAAUGACUUUUGAUACCCUUCCUGAAAUGCUCUUGCAUAUUAUUUUUUUUAUUAUAGAAUGCUCUAAAUUCCAGCGAUUUCGCGGGUAUUUUGAAGUUGUUUUUAAAUUUAAAUGGAAUGCCUGUCUUCAUCUUAUUACACACCAUGAUAUUAUGGUAGUGUGAAAUAUUUUGUACUUAACCAUAUAGGAAAUGUUUCGAAAAAACAACAAGGAUAACAUGUCAUAUUGGAAACUGUUUUGAAUAUCAAAUAUGAAAAAUAUUUGUUAAUAAUCUUAUUUGAAUGCUUUAGUCUUUUAAUUUCCUAUUCACAUUUUGUAACAUGAUUAAACAUUUAAUAGUGUUUGAUUCGAUUUUGGUUAGUUUAAUCUGA
rnacentral:lncRNA from 1 species